GGCCAGACUCCUACGGGAGGCAGCAGUGGGGAAUAUUGCACAAUGGGGGAAACCCUGAUGCAGCAACGCCGCGUGAGUGAGGAAGUAUUUCGGUAUGUAAAGCUCUAUCAGCAGGGAAGAAGAAAGACGGUACCUGACUAAGAAGCCCCGGCUAACUACGUGCCAGCAGCCGCGGUAAUACGUAGGGGGCAAGCGUUAUCCGGAUUUACUGGGUGUAAAGGGAGCGUAGACGGCGAUGCAAGCCAGAUGUGAAAGCCCGGGGCUCAACCCCGGGACUGCAUUUGGAACUGUGUGGCUGGAGUGUCGGAGAGGCAGGCGGAAUUCCUAGUGUAGCGGUGAAAUGCGUAGAUAUUAGGAGGAACACCAGUGGCGAAGGCGGCCUGCUGGACGAUGACUGACGUUGAGGCCCGAAAGCGUGGGGAGCAAACAGGAUUAGAUACCCGUGUAA
rnacentral:rRNA from 1 species